GAGAAAAACAGGAAGUGGAGCCUGAGAGCAAAGGCUGCAGCAGCCCUACCCGGGGCGGGGAGUGUGGCAGCCCCCUCCCCCCCGCAGCCUUACGGGAAAGUGGUCAGGGGGCAGCCCCAGCCUGAGCAGGGGGCAGGGGGUUGGGGGAGAGGAGAACCCAGUAUGGACCCUUUAACCACGAGGAGGUUUAUUUUUAGAUCAAACCUCACCCUUGGCUCUGGCAUUUCACAUCUUCUCUCACCUGCUCACAUCACCUCCUCAAGGUUGGCACCAUUACCCCCAUUUUCCCGGUAAGCGAAGAAACCCAGAGAAGUUAAGCGACUUGGCCGAGGCCACACAGCUUUUCCCACGGCUGGGUCACGGCUCCUUGAUUCUUUCUCAGACUUUGAUUUCUAUUUGUGGUGUGUUUUUGUUCCGGGCCUGUGAGCACGCAGGGGGUGAGGGGAGGCAGGGGAGGCGGGACGGUGCAGGGGGAGGGGGCUUUCUCUGGCUUCUGCCUCUGGCACAUCCGAGCUAGCUAGCCGAGCUAGCCGCAAGACAGGCAGCACGGCCAGCCUCCGAGAGCCCAUCCCUAGAGGUCCUGGUUCCUGGAAUGCGUGAGCAGGAAGGGCCAGGAGGAGGGGAGAGGGAGCCAGGGAGGGGAAGGCAGCCAGAUGACAGCCGAGGAGGAAGGGUGCCCUCCCCCCAAAUACAGAAGCAAGUAUCUAUGACCCCAGCUGGCCAACGACCAUCCCAAGGACUCAGAAAUUCAGGUCUGUGAAGACCCUCCACCAAGGCUCUCGGGCCUGGCAUCUGGCAGCGUCCCCCAGCUUUGAGGAGCCCCAAUGGGUGUCCCCUCUGACACCUGUCCUCAAGGCUGAGAUGUGGACAUACCUGCACGCUGGCGGAUGGAUAUUUCUUUCAUUCAUUCAUUCAUUCAUCAUCAGUGUCUUAAUGAGCCUCAACAACAAGCCAAGGUCUCUGCUCUUCUGGAAAUUGUGUCCUAAAGGGGGAGACAGCUGAGCAAAUAAUCUCAGGGCCACCGCUUGUGAUUCAUGGAACAACAUAGGCUAUUGAGGGAGAGUAAUGGGGAACCCAUCAGAGCAGGCCUCUCAAG
rnacentral:lncRNA from 1 species